rnacentral:rRNA from 1 species
UACGUAGGGUGCGAGCGUUGUCCGGAAUUACUGGGCGUAAAGAGCUCGUAGGUGGUUUGUCGCGUUGUUCGUGAAAACCGGGGGCUUAACCCUCGGCGUGCGGGCGAUACGGGCAGACUUGAGUACUGCAGGGGAGACUGGAAUUCCGGUGUAGCGGUGAAAUGCGCAGAUAUCGGAAGGAACACCAGUGGCGAAGGCGGCACUCUGGGCCAGUACUGACACU